rnacentral:lncRNA from 1 species
UCAUAUGGUUACAUUCAAUGAUSAAUUCUCCACGGAUGGAUUGUGACCCCCCAGAAAGGUUACAAAGGGAGGAGUAUAAUCCAGAGGCAGUUCGUCUGAAGGUCCAUAAGCAAAGCCAAUCGUCUCCAUCCUGUCCUGCGUGAACGAAGACACCUAUCCUGCUCUCUCCGCAGUAUCGUGUCUGUGCUGGGGAGCUUCUUGGUCUGAGAGAAGAGAUGCAUGUCUGUGACCACGUCCCACUGUGCAGGCAGUGACAGCCAGCGCUGCUGCUCUCUGCAGUCUAUUGCCCAGGUGAGACUCCCGUCCUAGACAGUGGAGCUGCAAGAAAAAGGUUGGGGGGGGGGGGAGGUUAAAGGUACAAAAGGUG